UCUGGUGUCCUAGGCGUAGAGGAACCACACCAAUCCAUCCCGAAUUUGGUGGUUAAACUCUACUGCGGUGAUGAUACUGUAGGGGAGGUCGUGCGGCAAAAUAGCUCGAUGCCAGAA
rnacentral:rRNA from 1 species